GAAGUGAUUAUGCUGACAUGAGUAACGAUAAAAUAUGUGAAAAACAUAUUCGCCGUAAAUCCAAGGUUUCCUGGGUAAAGGUAAUCUUCCCAGGGUUAGUCGGACCCUAAGGCCAGGCUGAAAGGCGUAGCUGAUGGGAAACGGGUUAAUAAUCCUGUACUUGUGCGAUUGUGCGAAGAAGGGACGCAGGAUGGUAGACAGGCCGGUUUUUGGAAUCCGGUGCAAGUGCGUAGGCGUGCUCCGCAGGCAAAUCCGCGGAGAUGAGCCGAGACACGAGUCCGUGGGCGUAAGCCCUGAAGCUGUUGAGCCACGGCUGCCAAGAAAAGCUUCUAAGUUUAGAUCGCGCGAACCGUACCGCAAACCAACUCAGGUGGAUGGGAUGAAUAAUCCAAGGCGCUCGAGAGAACUCUGGCCAAGGAACUCGGCAAAUUGACCCCGUAACUUCGGAAUAAGGGGUGCUCCCCAUGGUGAGACAAAUACUUGUUCAGCCUCAGGGAGCCGCAGAGAAAUGGUGGUGGCGACUGUUUACUAAAAACAUAGGUCUGUGCGAAGUCCUACAGACGACGUAUACGGACUGACGCCUGCCCGGUGCCGGAAGGUUAAAAGGAGGAGUCAGCGCAAGCGAAGCUCCGAUUUGAAGCCCCGGUAAACGGCGGCCGUAACUAUAACGGUCCUAAGGUAGCGAAAUUCCUUGUCGGGCAAGUUCCGACCUGCACGAAUGGCGUAACGAUCUCCACGCUGUCUCGGCCAGAGACUCGGUGAAAUUGAAGUCGCGGUGAAAAUGCCGUGUACCCGCAGAAAGACGGAAAGACCCUGUGCACCUUUACUAUAGCUUGACAUUGGGUUUUGAACCUGCAUGUGUAGGAUAGGUGGGAGGCUGUGAAAGCUGUACGCCAGUAUGGCCGGAGCCACCCGUGAAAUACCACCCUUGUUUGUUCAGGACCCUAACUCGCAGCUGUAAUCCAGCGCGAAGACAGUGUCUGGUGGGUAGUUUGACUGGGGCGGUCGCCUCCUAAAGAGUAACGGAGGCAUGCAAAGGUUCCCUCAGGCUGAUUGGAAACCAGCCGUUGAGUGCAAGCGCAUAAGGGAGCUUGACUGCAAGAGAGACAUCUCGAACAGAUACGAAAGUAGGUGCUAGUGAUCCGGUGGUCCCGAAUGGAAGGGCCAUCGCUCAUUGGAUAAAAGGUACGCCGGGGAUAACAGGCUGAUCGCAUCCAAGAGUUCACAUCGACGAUGCGGUUUGGCACCUCGAUGUCGGCUCAUCACAUCCUGGGGCUGAAGCAGGUCCCAAGGGUACGGCUGUUCGCCGUUUAAAGUGGUACGCGAGCUGGGUUUAAAACGUCGUGAGACAGUUUGGUCCCUAUCUUCUGUGGGCGUAGGAGAAUUGAGAGGGUUUGUCCCUAGUACGAGAGGACCGGGAUGAACGCACCACUGGUGGAUCAGUUGUCGCGCCAGCGGCAUAGCUGAGUAGCUAUGUGCGGAAUGGAUAACCGCUGAAAGCAUCUAAGCGGGAAGCCAGCCUCGAGAUAAGUUCUCCCUGUCGCAAGACACUAAAGGGCCGAUGAAGACUACAUCGUUGAUAGGCCGGAGGUGGAAGCGCUGCGAAGCGUGGAGCUGACCGGUACUAAUAGCCCGUGCGCCUUAUAUUU
rnacentral:rRNA from 1 species